ACGCUCGACACCUACGGAGGCAGCAGUGGGGAAUAUUGCACAAUGGGGGAAACCCUGAUGCAGCGACGCCGCGUGGAGGAAGAAGGUCUUUGGAUUGUAAACUCCUGUUGUUGGGGAAAAAGAGGAUGGUACCCAACAAGGAAGUGACGGCUAACUACGUGCAAGCAGCCGCGGUAAUCUGAGCGGGCUGGCAAGGC
rnacentral:rRNA from 1 species